UGGGUACUGUUGCUCUUAAUGGGAGGGGAAAUUAGGCAGAUACUCCUGGCUCAUUGGGCAACUGGCACUGUCUUUGCAUCAAAAAGAGCAAUCCUUCACAAUUUUGGUGGAAGAAUGUGGAGGAGGGGAUCUUGUUUGGAGAAAUUGACUGCAUCAAGGAAAAUGAGAAUAUAAAAGGAACACACUUUUCACUGAGAGUCUUCAAAUAGACUUUAUUACCAGGAACUCUGUGGUAAGCUGCCAUCCGCUGCCUUGCAGUCAGAGAGGCCUGGCUUUGAACUCUGCAUGUGAGUGUCUUCAAGAACAAGUGCUCUGCUUUGGCAGCUCAGCUGGGACUGGUUGUCGCUGGAAGAAGGUAGGUCCAUGGUUUGUUUCCAGUCUCAAGGACCAGGCUCAGGAGAGAACAUACCUUUGGCAUGAGUGACCAAAAGCUGGACAAUGGGCACCUGCAACCCAGCCGUGCUUGACUGAAG
rnacentral:lncRNA from 1 species